rnacentral:rRNA from 1 species
UACGUAGGGAGCAAGCGUUGUCCGGAAUCAUUGGGCGUAAAGCGCGCGUAGGCGGCCCUGUAAGUCCGUUGUGAAAGUCAAAGGCUCAACCUUUGAAAGCCGAUGGAUACUGCAGGGCUAGAGUCCGGAAGAGGCGAGUGGAAUUCCUGGUGUAGCGGUGAAAUGCGCAGAUAUCAGGAGGAACACCGGUGGCGAAGGCGGGUCUCUGGGCCGUAACUGACGCUGAGGAGCGAAAGCCAGGGGAGCAAACGGG